ACAUGAGCUGUGUUCGGGAACUCAAAAAUUUGUUCAAAUUUGCACAAAUUUUUAUUGGAAGUGUGCGCGUACUUUAUUUGCCAGUAGAAGAGAGCGCGAGAGAGAGCAAAUUUUGACGGUUAGAAAAAAGAGAACCUGGAAAUUUCUACUACGACUUUUUUUGCCAGCAGAAAUUGGCAACUUUGAACAGAUAUUUUGUAAAGGUCAGCCAAAAUGGAGAGAUUCAUGGCAGCAGUUAGUGUUUAGGUAAAGAAAACUCGACAAAUGAAGUUGUAAUUUUGCCUCAAGUCGGUUGUUCUACAUUAGAAGACACCAAGAAAAGAGCAAUUAUCGGUUUCUUAAGUGUUUUGAUGGAAUCACCGUCAUCGGAGAACUACGACGAAACCAACACCGUUCCCUUGAAUUUGUUAAGGAGGGAAGAUGCUACCAUGGAAUUGAGUGGGUCUAGCUGGGCAGUUAAACAAGUGACGCACUGUGUGAACGGAUACAGAUUUCUCAAUGAAAACAAAGUGUCCGUAGCCGUCACAUGACCAAACAGAAAGCUCCCUUAGCCUCACAUCAGUGGUCGUAGCAAUUUAUCCAAGUCCAAGGUAUCAUUGUCAGGACAACAAGUGUACUUUUGUAUACGGUGAUUGGAUGCCGAGCAGUUGUAGUCUUAUGCAGCCUUCGAAGUGCACGGAGGAAAGGGAGGAGUAGUCCCUCAUGCGUCUUGGCUACUUAUGAGGGAAGGGAGAUCGGCUCGUACGAUUUUCCCUUGCUCGUGUCCUUUUCAGGUUUUAGUAGAGGGAUCAGACUGCCCAUCUUCCAAACAUCGGGUACUAUAAUUGUGUUCAGGCUGAGGACAGUUGUAAGGUAAUGGAAACCAGGCAGAUCCAGAUUCUUCAGCAUCAGUGUAAAGAUUCUGUCUGAACCAGCGCUUUGCGCAACUUGGAGCUGCGGAUGAUUUUCGUAGCUUCGUGCACGGUUGUUGUAGCAGUGUGUUGUACACUGAAAGACUUCAUCGGGCCAAUGCGGUAGGUACAACUGGCUGCCAUGGGAUUGCACGGUAAUUUGUGAUGGCUGUCCAGCGGUACGGAGAUCACGGAUAUACGAAUGGCUCCCCUUCUAACCUUUUCAAUCUCGGGUCAAUAAAUUGACUUUUAUCCAAGAAAAAUACCUCAUAUGUGUCGUCAGCAUUUUUCUUUAAAUUAAAAAAAUUGUUUUUCA